CCUACGGGAGGCAGCAGUGAGGAAUAUUGGUCAAUGGACGAGAGUCUGAACCAGCCAAGUAGCGUGAAGGAUGACUGCUCUAUGGGUUGUAAACUUCUUUUAUAAAGGAAUAAAACGAGGCACGUGUGCCUGUUUGCACGUGCUUUAUGAAUAAGGAGCGGCUAACUCCGUGCCAGCAGCCGCGGUAAUACGGAGGAUCCGAGCGUUAUCCGGAUUUAUUGGGUUUAAAGGGAGCGUAGAUGGGUUGUUAAGUCAGUUGUUAAAGUUUGCGGCUCAACCGUAAAAUUGCAAUUGAUACUGGCAGUCUUGAGUACAGUUGAGGUAGGCGGAAUUCGUGGUGUAGCGGUGAAAUGCUUAGAUAUCACGAAGAACCCCGAUUGCGAAGGCAGCUUACUAAACUGUGACUGACAUUGAUGCUCGAAAGUGUGGGGAGCAAACAGGAUUAGAUACCCGAGUAGUC
rnacentral:rRNA from 1 species